AGCGUCGGAGAGGGCGUGACCGAGCUCGUGCCAGGUGACCAUGUCCUGCCGGUGUUCACUGGCGAGUGCAAGGAUUGUGCUCACUGCAAGUCAGAGGAGAGCAACCUCUGUGACCUCCUCAGGAUCAAUGUCGACCGGGGCGUGAUGAUCGGCGAUGGGCAGUCCCGCUUCACCACCGGUGGGAAACCGAUAUUCCACUUCGUCGGAACCUCUACCUUCAGCGAGUACACCGUGAUCCAUGUUGGGUGCCUAGCGAAGAUUAACCCCGAGGCGCCCCUUGACAAAGUUUGUGUUCUCAGCUGCGGUAUCUCAACUGGUAAGGCAUUGCUCUGAUUGGUACUCUCUCUGUAUUUUAGUCAUCUAAACGCUUUUAUAUUAGUUUACAAAGAAAGUAUUUCCCGAUGAAGCGCCAUAUGCAUAUUGCCUCAUUGAUAAGUUACUGAAAAGUCAUUUUUUUUCUUCAGGUCUUGGUGCGACUCUCAAUGUCGCAAAACCGAAAAAGGGUUCGACGGUGGCAAUUUUUGGUCUUGGAGCUGUAGGCCUUGCUGUAAGUGACGAAGGAUAUUUAUCUUCCACAAUGUACUAGUACUACAGGUUGAUUAGAAUUAUUCCCUACCACCAUGACUGAUUGAUGUAUGUGUUCACUCGAUCAGGCCAUGGAAGGGGCCAAGAUGGCUGGGGCAUCAAGGAUCAUUGGUGUGGACUUGAACCCUGCAAAGUACGAACAAGGUACAGUCUGCUUCUAUCUACAGAAAGAAAAACAAAUCCAUUUGGUGAAUGUUGGUUUGUGGACAACACACUGAACUUUAGCAACAUGUCAAUUUUCAGCUAAGAAGUUUGGCUGCACAGACUUUGUAAACCCAAAGGACCACACCAAGCCAGUGCAAGAGGUCCAUCAAGUUCUCUGCCUGAGCAUACAUCAGUCCCUUAAUUUGUCCAUGGGAUGGAAAAUCAUUCGUCGAAUGCUGACAAUUGAAUUGUUCUCCAGGUGCUUGUCGAGAUGACAAACGGCGGAGUCGACAGAGCAGUGGAGUGUACGGGACACAUUGACGCCAUGAUAUCCGCCUUCGAAUGCGUUCACGAUGUAUGCUCUCGAUGGUAAAGCCGUAGAUCGACUAGGCAUAGAUAGAUCCGGUGAAACCUUUUACUCACCUAGUCCCGAGCCCGAGGAACUCCCUGCUCCGGCCAUCAGUGCCGGUGUAGUCGUCGGUGGCGUGAGGGAAGAGGUGUGGUCGUGGGUGGUGCUUCCCGUGAGCACUGCGCUAACCCUAGAUCGGAAGGGGAUUUAGAUGGGGAGUCUGGCGGCGUGGUGAACCUCUACCGUGCGCCCCGGUCCCCACCACUUUAUAUAUAGCGCAGGUCACAGGGGGCCACCAACCAUAACGGGUUGGGCGCCCCCGAUCAGGGCGCAUAGAUCAAGGGCCCGGUGGACCGUUGGGCCCACGCGGAAGAGAUCAACCUAACACUCGAGUCUCGACGCAAAUAUAGUUUGAUCAUUGUGAGCAUUGAUGUGUCUUUCUGCUUUAAACUGAAAUUCUGAAAUUUGAAUGUAGGGGUGGGGCGUGGCCGUGCUGGUGGGCGUCCCGCACAAGGAGGCGGUGUUCAAGACACACCCGAUGAACUUCCUCAACGAGAGGACCCUGAAGGGCACCUUCUUCGGCAACUACAAGCCGCGCACUGACCUCCCGGAAGUCGUCGAGAUGUACAUGAGGAAGGAGCUGGACCUGGAGAAGUUCAUCACGCACAACGUGCCAUUCUCGCAGAUCAACACGGCGUUCGACCUCAUGCUCAAGGGAGAGGGACUUCGCUGCGUCAUGAGGAUGGACGAGUAGAUCGACUGAUCGAGCUUCUUCGUCACAUCCCUCGCUGCUUUCAGAUUUGGUGCUCGAGAAAAACGAACAAAAAAAGUUUGUAAGAUCUUACCUCCGGUAAUAAUGUAUAGUGAGCAUGUGUUGAGCUCUUUUUUGUCACAAAGAACCAACAUGUAUGUGUUUUGUCACAAGGAACCAACAUGUAUGGUUUGAUCUUUAUUUUCAGUGUGUCGCGAUCGCGACGCGACCGUUUGAGCAAUCUGUUUGGGCGUACAUGAACAUUUUCCACAGUGUAAUAAUUUGCAGUUUCCCACAUCGGCAUCUUCAUUUUUAACUGCAAAUCACCUUCUGAUGUUUUAUCUUCUUUGCAGAAAGUUAUUUUUUUUUACUUAUUGAUGGUGAAAACACUAAAUUAUUUCAAGUCCAAAUUCUACGGGAACAGUUAUGAUCAUAAAGUAAAAUUCAGCAAGCCUGCCGGAUGAAGCUCUAGGCCACAAAGACCAAGAGGAACUUGGAAUGAACUUGGAUGCCUGUGUGUGCGCGGCGCUUUAUUUGUAGAGAGAAUUCCUUAUUUAACUCUAUGCUUAAAUUUUAUGCCCCAUUUAACAUCGACAAAUUAUUUCUUCCCUAUAUAACAAUAAGUCUAAGUUUUAUGUUUUUUAUAACACUUUUGUUCAUUUUAAGCAUAAAUAACAUUUGAAAAGACCAUUUUGCUCCUCAUAUGGUAUGCUUGUGUGUGCGCUGCUGUAUGUGCGUGUGCGUGCACACAUGCUUGCUGCUGAUGUUGCGUCUUUGCUGCUGCAUGUUUGUGUGUGCGUGCGCGCGUGUGCUGUUGCAUUGAUAUUGUGCGUGCUACUGUCCAGCACAUACACAUAUCAUAUGAAGGGCAAAAGAGUCUUUUCAUAUGUCAUUUUGGCUUAAAAUGAACAAAAAUGUCAUUAAAGGGCAUAAAAUUUAAGCUAGUUGCUGUACAGGUAAGAAAAAAAAGUUCAGUAUCAAAUAAGGAAACGAAAUUUAAGAUAGUUUUAAAUAAGGAAUUGUUGCGGGACGAAAGCCAUUUUUGAUAGACCUCAUUAUAAUAAGUAUUUUGGAUCCAAAACUCUCCCCUGGAUAGAACAGAACUCUCAUUUCUCGGAGGGCUUUGCGACAGUCAAACAUAGAUUUUUGAGUUUUGCUUCGGUACACCCCCUUAAAGGUGUGCACGAAUUUUAAAGUUACUUUAAAAGGAUAUUGUCAUAUUAACCUGUAGAUCAAACAUUACUGAAUACAAUGAUUUGGACAGGAAGUAUUAUUCAAGAGGUACAUUUUAAUCUCCGCCUUUAAUCUGCAACAAAAUCCGUACAAAAACAGGUUUGAAACAUUAUGUAGACCAGAAAAUAUUUGGAAAACGUUAUCUUUCAGCCUGCUGAUCCCGCUCCUGCGUUCGUUUGUAACUCUGAUUAACACGUGGCCAUGUGAUUGUGAGUAAAACUGAGGAAAGGAAAGAGCAAAGGGACGCGACCUCGUGAGCGUGCUACGUGUCGUCGAUUGCCAUGGUACUCGCGAGAAUCGGCCGGCUUGAUGGUUUUAAUUUCUUUUUUGCAGCAAGUACUCCAUUGCAAUGGCGGCCAACACCCGCUAGCCGCAAUUUUUUGCAAAAUGUUUCUGCAACAAGUGUCAUGUUGCAAAAAAAUACUACAACAUUAACUCUAUUGCAAGGCUUCUGCAACACGACCAUUAUUGCAAAGAUGUGGACACGUAGAAAAUAUUCUUCAAAUAUUUCUGCAACAUAAUCUUUGUUGUAGAAAGUCUUCUAUAAAAAAUCUAUUGCAAAAAUAAUAAUUUUACAAAUGUAUCCGCAACACUAUAUUUGUUGGAGACAAUAUUCUAUAACAAACUCUGCUGGAAAAAAAAUACAGGUAUUUCCGCAACAUGAUCUUUGUUGCAAAAAAUAUUACAUAACAAAUUUUGUUGUAAAAAAUAAUAAUUUACAGACAUUUUUACAAUAUGAUCUAUGUUACAAAAAAAUCUGCAACAUAAUCUAUGUUAUAAAAGUUAAAAUACCCUUUAGCCAUUUAAUGACACUAAAUGCGGUUAGCGACCCGACCAAUCUUUUAAAAAGAUAGUUCGGCAAACGUGUAGGAGCGACCAAAAUAUUUACAGUUAUUCCUUAAGACGGAGUUGCAUAGACGACAAGUAACUCUGCUCACAACAGGGUUCCUAAUUUCAAUGAAAUUUCAUAAUUUUUGAUGUGAUCCGAAUACUUUUAACCCUGAAAUUUUGAUCCAUAUUCAAAUGUAUUUAAAAAUAAAUUUAAAUUAGGUUAUAAUUAGUGAAUUUUGAAAGUGAAAACCCCUAAAUAUUUUCCGAAAUAUGUGAAUACGUUUUGUUCGACAAUGUCUGACAUUUCAGAAAUUUCGGCAAUGCCUGAGAUUAUUUUGUGUUCAAAAACCUUGGCUCGCGUGCUGACGGUGGAUGCAAAAGGAAGAUGACACUCAUUUUUUUUCAAGGCUGUAAUUUCUUAUUCUUAUAUGGAAGUUUUCGUAGAGGCUGGUUUAAUUUAACAUAUAGCCUUGGGUCUUUUCCGCAAAAGAAGGCAACAACUAUGAAACGAGCAUCCUUCUUCUUCUUUAUUUCUAAGAGGAAAACGAGCAUCCCUCUUUGUUCUUCGAGAGAACAAUCUCAAUCUAAUAAUAAAGCAAAUAUAGUUUCUGGUCGUCCGUCAUGAUAUUUUUGUAAAAAAGUUUCUCCAUUUUCAGUUAAUCAACCCGCAAUCCUUUUUUAAAUGAGAAAAACGUUUCGUCGUGCCACUUUUACAAAAAAAAACCCCGACGUUUUCUGAAAUCAACCCGCAGUCCGGAUUUAAGUCAGAAAACGAAUCUUUUUUGCAUUGUUCCGAAACCCCCCUGAUGUUUCAGGUAAUCAACCCGUCCUCCGUAUUUUAAUGAAAAAAAACCUAACUUUUCAGUUAAUCAAUUCAAAUUUUAUCUAAAACAAAAUUAUCCAUAUCUUUUAAACCGUAGCUUCGAUUUUAACAUGUUAUAUCUGAAAUUUGAUUAAAAAAAUAUGUAGAAUCUAAAUAGAAUGUUAUUUUUAGCUGUUGAAUACUUAUUAAAUAUUAUUUUUAGUGCAAACUUAAUCUGUAGUGUACGGUCUUUUUUCCCUCUCUUUCCGACGACUACGAAUUGCAAUAAACAUCCAUUUAAUUAAAACCAAAUUGAAAGAAAAGAAAACAUCGUUAACCACACAUGCUCACCUUUGAAAAACCUCAUGGGGAGAAACAACAUAUUUUUCAUCUUAUUCCUAAUGAUUGUACAUUCAAACGGGUUUUCGUUGUGUGAGCACUAAAGCCGUCGUCGGCAACACAAAUGUGAUGCCAUGUGAAAAUAUAUUGCGUUUAAAGUGUGUGUUAUCUUCUCUUCCGUUGCAACGCACGAGCUCUUCCACUGGUAAACUUAAAAAACGGACAGACGUCAAUCCUAUAUACACUUUUGAAUCUCCUGCGGGGGAGCAACUGAAAGUGAAAACCGACAGCCAGCAAUCCAGCAUGCAUAUGCUCCAAUCCGGCAGAUGUCGAGAACCACCGACAACAUUUCAGCUGCCCAUUUGGAUCGCGGACUUGCAAAACGACGAGACGAGGUGGACGCCCUGCUGUUUUCGCAGUUGGUUUUCCGCCCCGGUUUUUCGUCACCAAGUCAGCCCUCUCCUGGCCUAAUCGUCGGUUUUUUACUCUGUCCUGGCCGCCGUUGACCCGUAGCCCCUUGGUCGUCACGUCACUCCGAUUUCGAUAUACCACACGGGGCCGAGGUUUGAAACCGGCGGAGACGCGCGCAGACAGGCGAACGGAGGCCGGACACCCCUGUUUCGGUCGCCCUGUCCAAGGAAAACAGCCCAUCUUCUUUCCCCACUUGCACUCCAAGCUAGCCUAAUUAGUUUCGUCUGAUUUUGAUUUUGGUUCAUGUUUGAGGACGGGGAUCUAAAUUUGCAUGGCUGGUUGCAGCGGUGGUGCCAUGGGAGGCCGGGAAGCCGCUAUCGGGCGAGGAGGUGGAGGUGGCGCCGCCGCAGGCCAUGGAGGUGCGAGUCAGGAUCCUCCACCGCACUCUGCCACACCGACGUCUACUUCUGGAAGGCCAAGGUAUCCACACAGCUACACGAUUGUAUCUCAUGGUCGGGUAUGGCGACGAAGAGACACGGAUCAAUGGAUAGAUAAUUAACUUUCGAUCUUCUGCUUGGAUUUGUGCAGGGGCAAACUCCGGUUUUCCCUAGGAUCUUGGGCCAUGAAGCUGGAGGGUAUGCGUCCUCUCUGUCCCCGUCUUACUCUGUUUCAGCUUUGUUGCUUGGAGGAAUCUUGGAUCCUAAAUCAUAGUAGUUUAUUCAUAUUGGCUUCUAGUUUUAGUCGUACUGAUUCAUGGUCUGUCAGUGAUACUAGAUUGAUAACUAUAUACGGCAAGUGUCCAUAUUUUAUUGCCAUGGCAUAAAACAGUAUGACUAAUUAUAGUCAUCCUGAAUACUGAUCUGUCAGUGGUACUAGAUUGAUAACUAUAUAAAGCAAGUAUCCACAUAUUUUAUUGCCAAUGGGAUUAAACAUAUGAAGAAUCAUGGGAAAACGUCAUGCAUGACACAAGCUCAAAUUAUAAAGUGAUUUGUACAAUCAUAUAGGUUUGAACUAGUUAAUUUUCCCAUGUCCUGUGUGCUCCUGCUCUCCUCAUUAUAUCUUUAUCACAUUUAAUUUCGCAGAAAAAAAUUCGUGACAUAUUUUGAGUUGCUAAUUUCCUUGCCAGUUAUCAGUUUUAUUAAAGUGGAAUCUUUCUUCAUUUUAAUGAAUAGUAGUAUCCCUUGUGUUUUCUCUUUAUAGUUUAUCUUUGCUGGUAUCUCUUUUCACAAAUUGCUUCUUUGUCGCAGUAUUGUCGAGAGCGUUCCGGAGGGUGUGACCGAGCUCGUGCCAGGUGACCAUGUCCUCCCGGUGUUCACCGACGAGUGCAAGGAGUGUGCUCACUCCAAGUCAGACGAGAGCAACCUUUGCGACCUCCUCAGGAUCAACGUGGAUCGUGGUGUGAUGAUCGGCGAUGGGGAGUCUCGCUUCAGCAUUAAUGGGAAACCGAUCUUCCACUUUGUUGGGAUCUCCACCUUCAGUGAGUACACUGUGA
rnacentral:lncRNA from 1 species